GAUGAAUGCUAGCUACAGGCUUAACACAUGCAAGUCGCGGGGCAGCAUGGGGGUUGCUUGCAAUCCCCGAUGGCGACCGGCGCACGGGUGAGUAACGCGUAUCCAACCUGCCCUUCACCACGGGAUAACCCGGCGAAAGUCGGACUAAUACCGUAUGUUGUCCAUUGACGGCAUCCGAUUUGGACGAAAGGUUUGGCGGUGAAGGAUGGGGAUGCGUCCGAUUAGCUGGACGGCGGGGUGACGGCCCACCGUGGCGACGAUCGGUAGGGGUUCUGAGAGGAAGGUCCCCCACACUGGAACUGAGACACGGUCCAGACUCCUACGGGAGGCAGCAGUGAGGAAUAGUGAUCAAUGGGCGUAAGCCUGAACCAGCCAAGUAGCGUGCAGGAUGACGGCCCUAUGGGUUGUAAACUGCUUUUAUGCGGGGAUAAAGUGGCCCACGUGUGGGUUUUUGCAGGUACCGCAUGAAUAAGGACCGGCUAAUUCCGUG
rnacentral:rRNA from 1 species